AACGAACGCUGGCGGCAUGCCUAACACAUGCAAGUCGAACGAAGUGGCGCACGGGUGCGUAACGCGUGGGAAUCUGCCUUUGCUUCGGAAUAACAGUUAGAAAUGACUGCUAAUACCGGAUUGCAAAGGAUGAGCCUGCGUAGGAUUCGGUAGUUGGUGGGGUAAAGGCCUACCAAGCCGCCGAUCCUUAGCUGGUCUGAGAGGAUGGUCAGCCACACUGGGACUGAGAGACGGCCCAGACUCGUACGAGUGGCAGCAGUGGGGAAUAUUGGACAAUGGGCGAAAGCCUGAGCCAGCAAUGCCGCGUGAGUGAUUAAGGCCUUCGGGUCGUAAAGCUCUGUUACCAGGGAUGCAGUACCUGGAGAAUAAGCUCCGGCGAACUCCGUGCCAGCAGCCGCGGUAAUUC
rnacentral:rRNA from 1 species